CCCCUAGAGCUGAAAGAGGAAGCAACUGCAAUGCUGAGGGAGGGGUCCCUGAGAGAUCGCCUGUGUCCCAGGCCCCAAGUCUGGGGAGGCAGGCUCCAUUAGAGCCUUAAAAAAUUCAGUGGAUCGAUCUCUUGCCUGCUUCUUGUGCCCUGGGGAGCCACAGGCGCUGGCCUGGCCCAGGUGUCUGCCCACCCCAGGGGUAGCAAGGAUUAGUGAGGUUAGGGAGGGGGCGGUUAGAGCAGAGGUGGGGACAUCCAGGUUUUGGCAGCAGAGGAUGUGGCCAGGCACGCCAGGACCCACCAGGUGUGUUUGCACGUAUGUGCCGGUCCUCCUUGGCGCAGCUGGCAGGCCCGACCCCAGCUUGAGCCUUGCCCUGUGGGGCUAGACGGGCACCAGGGGCCGGAGGGGAUGGGCCAGGGCCUGGGCCUCAGAGGGUUCCGAGGGACACCCCGAGGAUGGGUCUACCUUUGCCUGUGGCUCCGGGGACCUGGGGCCCCGGCCAGCUCGCUGGUGGUGGUGGCGGCCGCGGGCACGCUGCGGUAGAAGCUGGAGCAUUCACUGUGGGGAGAAAGGGAGAGAGGCCGGGCUACAGGAAUUUUAAAGAUUGCUGCAGGCAGGAGGGUCUCUGGAACCUUGUGGAGCGGGCAGUCAUGCAGAAGUAAUCCUAUCGCUGCCUGCCUGGAGGAGAGGAGAGGAGAGGGGGCUGGGAGGGGAAGGAUGGCGCAGCCGCCCCUUUCCCACCUCAGCCCCUGCCCCAGCCAGCUGUGGAGGGAGCCCGGGACCCCAGGGGGCUCCCCCGGGGAGGCACCACCCUUCCACCGCUGCCUGUGCCCCCUGGAGGGGCGGCACCGCAGCUGUUGCUCGGCUAGGAGCUCUGGGUUUUAUAAAUAAUGCAGCUUGGAGGUGGGGGCCCACUCAGCCUUGGGUCACCCACUGUGGCAUCAUCUCCAGCUGGCAGUCCUGUGGCAGAGCCCCUCUGCCUUCCAGCCUGCUCCUCCUCUUUUGCUAUGUGAGUUUGGGCCAGAGGCCCAGCCUGUGUGAGCUGGGCCAGGGCAAAGGAGUGUGGAAGAACCCAGAACCCCCUGUCCUUUUGUACCCCGCCCCCACCAGCCUUCACAGGUUAACUGGCCACUGGCUCAGCAAAUCCAGGCUGGGAAGGGAUGACCCGCUGUACAGGGGCCUCCCCAGUUCCAGCCCCUCCAUUUUGCAGAUGGAGUAACCAAGUCCAGAGAGGGCAGGGAUGGCCAAGGCCAGCCAGCUGAUGAGCAGCUCCUUCCUGUCCCAUUCUGCUGUCAGUCAAGGCUCUUCUCAGCCUCAGCUCAGCUAAGAGCAGGGCCUGGAGGGCGGGGGGGAUGUUUGGGAAAGUGGUUGCGGCUGAGACGUUGCCAUGGCGAUGCUGCAGGAUGCUGAGCUGAAGUGGGGGUCUUACAGGGUCUCUGGGGCCCCCAGCUCCACACCCCUGUGGUCUUCUCCUCCCCAUCUCCUGUCCCUCACCCAGAGGCCUGUCAGGCAGCUCCGGUGACAGGCUGGGUGGGUGACAGGUGGUGCAGGUGAUGGGCUGGGUGGGUGACGAGCUGGGUGGGUGACAGGUGGUGCGGGUGCGAGGCAGGCAGGUGACAAGCUGGGUGGUGACGGGCCCUGCUGAUGACAGGCAGGGGGUGUGGUUGGCGGGGAUGCUGUCUCCUGGCUGGUGGCCUGUCGCAGCCCCCCACCCUCACGCGUGUGCACAUGCACAGACUCUGGGCUCAGAGCUUGGGGCUAAGAUACUAAUGAGGCUUAUUACGUGUGGGGGGGCAGGUGCCCAGGCUCACUAAUGAGAGGCCUUUAACGAAGAGGGGAGACAGCUGGGGGGCUUUGAGGAAUUUGGCUGGCCCUCCUGGUCUGGAGGAUGAGCCAGGUCGGGGCCCCACCUACCCUUCCCCCCGGCCACUUGGCUUUGUGUUAAUACUACCCACAGUCAUGAUAGUUACCAUUGUCCAAGCGUUUGCUACACUGGCCGAGCCCUUUACAUGCGUUUUCUUAUUUCAACUCAGCAGUCGUAGGAGGGAGGCACUAUUGCCCAUUUUAUGGAUGAGGAAUCUGAGGCUGAGAAGGCAAGGGACUUCACGUAACAAGUUUCUGUUGCAGCUGACAUUUUAA